CUGAGAGUCUGAGGCGCCUCAAGGUCUCAAGCCGAACCCUUUCGCUCAGUCUGCCGAUGGUCGACGACUUGACGCCACGCCGUCCGGUCGCGAUUCUCUCUCGGUGAGCCCCAAUCGUCUUUUCUCUUUCUUAUCCAAAUCUGAUUUGGUGAUCUUAGAAAGAGACUUGAAGAUCUAUAUGGCAAAGUCAUCGUCUUUCACACUUGGUUCCAGAUCGAGUCAAUAUCAGGAGCAAUAUUGUAAGCUAUUGCAAACAUUUGCUACUUCAACAUUAUGAUGGAUCACUUACAGUAUCUCAUGGAAAGGGGAGGAUAAGAUUUUAAGCGUUGUAGCAUAGUAUUCCGACACUAUUUUGAAGAGGAAAGCGACCUUUCAUAAUGAAGGAAUUGAAGAGGAAAUCAUCCUCUACUAGUACUCAUGAUUGUGCUACCAUUUUAACUUGAAAUGUAAUUUAACUUCCAAUUUAGAAGCUCUAUAAUCCUUA